rnacentral:misc_RNA from 1 species
GUAGGUGAACCUGCGGAAGGAUCAUUAACACGUUAUCCAAAACGAUAAACCAACCGUGAACUUGUUUAACCCUGACUUGGAUGAAUUUUUCGCUGCUUGUUCUCGUGCUUCGGCAGGCCGUGAACCGUGCCUUUUGGUGUAAAAGCCAAGAGGACCGGAACGGCAUACGUGCGGGACAGUACUGCCCCCAGCGAUGUGAUGUUUGAAGAAGACAUCUCUCGCUUAUCUGGCACCGUGCGGGACGGAUAUU